UACGAAGGGGGCUAGCGUUGCUCGGAAUCACUGGGCGUAAAGGGUGCGUAGGCGGGUCUUUAAGUCAGGGGGGAAAUCCUGGAGCUCAACUCCAGAACUGCCUUUGAUACUGAGGAUCUUGAGUCCGGGAGAGGUGAGUGGAACUGCGAGUGUAGAGGUGAAAUUCGUAGAUAUUCGCAAGAACACCAGUGGCGAAGGCGGCUCACUGGCCCGGUACUGACGCUGAGGUGCGAAAGCGUGGGGAGCAAACAGG
rnacentral:rRNA from 1 species